CACUUACCUCCCAUCCUAAUGGUUAUAAGGAUUUUGGGGUUUGUAAGGGUGAAAGGAUUCACUGAUAAAGAGGAAACUGUGUACGUGGUCCCAUACAAAGAGAGAGGCUCUGGUUAAUAGGGGUUAAAGUCAGUGCCCAACCAAAUCAGGCACAGGUCCAUCAGAGGGGGCUCACCUGGCACUCAUCUGAUGGAUUUAAUGGCAUUUCCUUGCUCUUGCUACGUGACCCAGGUUCAAGACCCUAGAUGAGUCCCAUGAUCCAGUUCCUUGCUGGAAGAUCAAGAUGUCUUGAGAAGUUGGGGAACUUAAUGUCCAACUGGCAGUUGAGAUGCUUUCCACAUGCUUCUCAUCUCAGUAUACUUAAUUACUCGGACUUCACUGCCUUCAUCUUGCUGGAUACAGAGUGUGGAGGGACAUCUGUCUCCCUUGGACAUCAGUCACAAAGGUUUGGAGAACUGGGCUGGCUGGGGAAGGCACUCAGGGAGCCCCCACAGAUGGGAAGAGGACAAUUCAGGAAGGCACACUGGAAAAUGCAGAGAGGAAGCCAGGAUGGUCCCAUCUGAUCUCCCUUUUCCAUUUUCCUUGCAGGUGGUACAGUCUGAAAAGACAGGAGUGUGGCAACAUGGAAUGUUUCAGACAGAGCAGGAUCUGGGCAAGGUCUGCCUUCAUUCACAGGUGGACACCCCUGAAUUCACAUCUGCAGGCAUCGACAAGACAGAAUGGCAGCCGGAUGAAUUCACCGCUUGGGAGCGAGCAGAGCGCGGUGCGGGUGGCCCUGCAGGCCUCCUUUUCACCAGGACCUCGAGCUGCACGGUUUUUUUAGGGCUUUCUCUGAGGCAAAAGCUUGUCAGGGAAUGUCUCCUUCCUGCCCUGCCACCCUGAAGUCCUAGACCACCCUGGGUCUAAAGCUGGUCUUACACAAGCCACCACCAAGACCAACGUGAGCAUCACAUUGUGAACACCCUCCACAUGAUAAUCCAGUUCCUGCCCACUGGAUUGAAAUUUAGGGAUCUUGGGUGUCUCUGGUCCCUGCCACGAGUCUCUUGGGAGACACUGAGUCAUCCGUCACGCAGUGCCUCAGUUUCCCUGCCUUUCAGAUGAG
rnacentral:lncRNA from 1 species